GCGUUCCGACCGCUGAAGCUCCAGUGAGGGACGCAGGCAUUCUACUCUUCGAUUGGUCGCUGGGGGAAGAAUGACGGGCGCCUUUUUAAAUGCUUUAUUUCAAUAAAACUUUAUUAGUGGAAGAGCGCCAGCUAUUAACUACAGACGUCUCUGGUGGGUCCCUGGUCCCGGCCCAUUCUGUGUCUGUUCUAAGCCGCUGGAGAGCUGGAGAUCAGGACUGCACUGGGUACCUGAGGCAAGAGAAAAGCUGUAACGGAAGGAGUGAAGAAGAGGGAAAAAAACGGGAUGAGGAAACAAGGGGCAGAGAGGAAGCAAACAAAAAUCAAUAAUAGAAGUUUAGCAGCAGAGAUCACCUAGGUGGUUCAACCACUCACUUUUUUGAAGAGCAGGAGAAAAGAAGCGAGAAAAAUAAAAGAGAGAAUAAAG
rnacentral:lncRNA from 10 species